GGUUGUGGCUCAGCGGUAGAGCGCUCACCUAGCAUGCGCGAGCCCCUGGGUUCAAACCUCAACACCA
rnacentral:tRNA from 1 species